ACGGGAGGCAGCAGUGAGGAAUAUUGGUCAAUGGACGCAAGUCUGAACCAGCCACGUCGCGUGAAGGAAGGCGGCCCUACGGGUUGUAAACUUCUUUUAUACGGAAAUAAAGUGCCCCACGUGUGGGGUUUUGCAUGUACCGUAUGAAUAAGGAUCGGCUAACUCCGUGCCAGCAGCCGCGGUAAUACGGAGGAUCCGAGCGUUAUCCGGAUUUAUUGGGUUUAAAGGGUGCUCAGGCGGGGUAUUAAGUCGGCGGUGAAAUUUUGCAGCUCAACUGUAAAAGUGCCGUUGAUACUGUGAAGCUAGGAUUUGGUUGCUGUGGGCGGAAUGUGUGGUGUAGCGGUGAAAUGCAUAGAGAUCACACAGAAUAUCGAUUGCGAAGGCAGCUCACAAAGCCAAGAUUGACGCUGAGGCACGAAAGUGUGGGGAUCAAACAGGAUUAGAUACCCUGGUAGUCCACACUGUAAACGAUGAUAACUCGCUGUCGGCGAUAAACAGUCGGUAGCCAAGCGAAAGCGAUAAGUUAUCCACCUGGGGAGUACGACCGCAAGGUUGAAACUCAAAGGAAUUGACGG
rnacentral:rRNA from 1 species